CCUUACUAAGCCUUUCUGCAUCCUGAGGAAACCUGAACCAACAUGUUCUAUGGACUGGAAAGCACAGGAUGAAACAGGAAGAGAGAGGAGUGUAGAACAAGGGGAUGACAUGGACCAGGAACAGGGAUUGCACAUGAAGAACCCCACAUCUCUAGAGUGUGCACACAGGUGGCAACACCUUUCACCAGCAAUGAAGCCAGACACUGGGGCUUUGUCAUGGCCCUGCAUAGUUCUUUUCACA